GAUGAACGCUAGCUACAGGCUUAACACAUGCAAGUCGAGGGGCAUCGGGAAGAAAGCUUGCUUUCUUUGCCGGCGACCGGCGCACGGGUGAGUAACACGUAUCCAACCUGCCCUUUACUCGGGGAUAGCCUUUCGAAAGAAAGAUUAAUACCCGAUGGCAUAAUGAUUCCGCAUGGUUUCAUUAUUAAAGGAUUCCGGUAAAGGAUGGGGAUGCGUUCCAUUAGGUUGUUGGUGGGGUAACGGCCCACCAAGCCUUCGAUGGAUAGGGGGUUCU
rnacentral:rRNA from 1 species